rnacentral:misc_RNA from 1 species
UUUCCGUAGGUGAACCUGCGGAAGGAUCAUUAAUAAUAAGUGUUUUACUGCGCUUUUUAAAAAUAGUACUCACCUUGUGUGUAAUGUUGUGUUUCUUUUCGGAGAAACGCCUACACCAACCUAUAACCUUGAACCACUUUGUCUGAAAAACUAUUAUGAAUACUUAAUUCAAAAUACAACUUUCAACAACGGAUCUCUUGGCUCUC